GUGUACUGAACGAAGGAAAGUUGUGUUGUGAAGCUGCCCACGUACAAGCAUGCUCUGAUCUGCCUGACACUGAACAGUCAGGUUGGCUUAGCUGCUGGUCUUCCCUCUUCAGUCACAGCCAUUGCAAUGCUCUCCCAACUUCCUGUCCAGCUGUGUAGCAGAUCUUCACUUGUGCUCCUUUAACUUCAAUGAUAUAAAGUGCC